GACGAACGCUGGCGGCGCGCCUAACACAUGCAAGUCGAACGAGCGAGAGAGAGCUUGCUUUCUCGAGCGAGUGGCGAACGGGUGAGUAACGCGUGAGGAACCUGCCUCAAAGAGGGGGACAACAGUUGGAAACGACUGCUAAUACCGCAUAAGCCCACGGCUCGGCAUCGAGCAGAGGGAAAAGGAGCAAUCCGCUUUGAGAUGGCCUCGCGUCCGAUUAGCUGGUUGGUGAGGUAAUGGCCCACCAAGGCGACGAUCGGUAGCCGGACUGAGAGGUUGAACGGCCACAUUGGGACUGAGACACGGCCCAAACUCCUACGGGAGGCAGCAGUGGGAAUAUUGCACAAUGGGCGAAAGCCUGAUGCAGCGACGCCGCGUGAGCGAAGAAGUAUUUCGGUAUGUAAAGCUCUAUCAGCAGGGAAGAAGAAAUGAACGGUACCUGACUAAGAAGCUCCGGCUAAAUACGUG
rnacentral:rRNA from 1 species